rnacentral:rRNA from 1 species
UACGGAGGGAGCUAGCGUUGUUCGGAAUUACUGGGCGUAAAGCGCACGUAGGCGGCUUUGUAAGUUAGAGGUGAAAGCCCGGGGCUCAACCCCGGAAUUGCCUUUAAGACUGCAUCGCUUGAAUCCGGGAGAGGUGAGUGGAAUUCCGAGUGUAGAGGUGAAAUUCGUAGAUAUUAGGAAGAACACCGGUGGCGAAGGCGGCCCACUGGCUCGAUACUGACGCUGAGGUGCGAAAGCGUGGGGAGCAAACAGG